UAUCGCGCUCAUUGCUUGAUCAGAAUCUACACAAUUGAGGUGUUUAUGGGUUGACCAAGAUUUCUGUUUGCAUUCCGUGGUGAUUGUUGUGUUACCUGUUGUGACUACAGGGGUUGGAGUCGUGGAGUCUGGUACACUUUAAGGAUUGUUCAAAGUGGGUUGCAGAUUGCAGGAGAGGGGAUAUCUUGCUGCAAGUCUUGUUGUGUGGUUUGCCUAUAUUUUGGUUAGAGGGUUAGAGAGGUGUUUUAUAUUUUUGACGUGGAGGUCUCUAUAAAAGCCUUGUUGUAAAAACCUUGACCAUUAUAGUGCAUUUGCUUCCUGGUAUUGGAAGGACACUGGAUGUAGGCAUUGAGGCCGAACCAGUAUAAAAACCCGCGUUUGAAUUCUUUAUCCCUACUUUUUUACAUUCAGUCCACUUUACAAUUCAUGUAGUCAACUUUGAUUUUCUGCUGCACUUAAUUUUCUAUUACUUGCGAUUCAAGAAAGUUUGUAAAGUUUUGUACUUUAUAUUAAAGAUUGUGAAAAGACUCUGAUUUUGAAAACUCACCAAUUCACCCCCUC
rnacentral:lncRNA from 1 species